CGUAAACGAUGGAUACUAGCUGUUGGGAUUUAUCUCAGUGGCUAAGCGAAAGUGAUAAGUAUCCCACCUGGGGAGUACGUUCGCAAGAAUGAAACUCAAAGGAAUUGACGGGGGCCCGCACAAGCGGUGGAGCAUGUGGUUUAAUUCGAUGAUACGCGAGGAACCUUACCAAGGCUUAAAUGUAGAUUGACAGGACUGGAAACAGUUUUUCCUUCGGGCAAUUUACAAGGUGCUGCAUGGCUGUCGUCAG
rnacentral:rRNA from 1 species